rnacentral:rRNA from 1 species
UCUCAAAUCAGGCAGGACUACCCGCUGAACUUAAGCAUAUCAAUAAGCGGAGGAAAAGAAACUAACAAGGAUUCCCCUAGUAACGGCGAGUGAAGCGGGAACAGCUCAAAUUUAAAAUCUGGUGGUCUUUGGUCACCCGAGUUGUAGUCCAGAGAAGUGUUUUCUGUGCUGGACCAUGUACAAGUCUCUUGGAACAGAGCGUCAUAGAGGGUGAGAAUCCCGUCCUUGACAUGGACUCCCAGUGCUAUACGAUGCACUCUCAAAGAGUCGAGUUGUUUGGGAAUGCAGCUCAAAAUGGGUGGUAAAUUCCAUCUAAAGCUAAAUAUUGGCGAGAGACCGAUAGCGAACAAGUACCGUGAGGGAAAGAUGAAAAGCACUUUGGAAAGAGAGUUAAACAGUACGUGAAAUUGUUGAAAGGGAAACGCUUGAAGUCAGUCUUGUCUUCUGGGACUCAGCCUUGCCUUGUGCUUGGUGCAUUUCCUAGUAAAACAGGCCAGUGUUGAUUUUGACCGCUGGAAAAAGGCCAGAGGAAAGUAGCACUCUCCGGAGUGUGUUAUAGCCUGGUUUCAUAUGCCGUUGGGACUGUGAGAUUC